AUGGCGGCGGCGGCUCCCCCUGGCGGGCAGACGUCAGCCUCAAUCCGAGAGCACGGCAGCCAUGACGUGCUCGCUACAGGGUUGUUCCAGGCGCAGCUCCGCGGCUCGGCAGCUGGGUCUGGCUCCCAGCGGAGCUCCACGAAGCUCAUCACGACGCUGAUUUGGGAGCUGCAGGGCAACAGAGCCCACAGAGCCGCUCCCUUAACAGCCACCCAGAGUCGUGGCCUCCGCGGCGCCGCUGAGCAAGCCAGAAGCCUGCUGAAGCUGCAACACAACAGGAGUCCCAGAGGUGUGUGCCAGAGCAGGAUGUUGCACACAGUGGUCAGAACACAGAGCCAGUGGAAAUAACAGUUGUGAAUUGAAGAAUACUUGCUAUCUUCCUAGAUAAAGCGGUUGCUUUCACGAUAGUGGCAUCUGUGGGAUCCAAGGAUAUUUAAUGUGACAAGAGGUCCUGACCUAUUGGAGGCAGCUGAUGUCAUGAUAACCUUGAUAGUCAGAGGCGCUGUAGUACUCUUGGCUACUAACUACUGAUGUACAGGAAAGCAAGGAAGGCUUAGUACUAUCAAGAGCUGCUUCUUGGAGGAAGCUAAAAAUUUUAAUAUAUAUUUUUCUUAUUACUUACUGAGGCAAUGGCAUGUCAGGAUCAAUGUAUCGUGGAGACUGUAGAAAGACUGUUUAGCAAGACAAGAUGGUUCGGAGUGAGAGGGAGAUACUGGAUUGUGUUUUGCGGACUUAGCAUUUAGGAAGAUGGUAUCCAGCUGGCAAUGGAGUUCACAGUUAAAUCACAAAUACAUUUUGACUCAGUUGGGGUUGCUGGAACAAGAGUUACAUACUUCUAAAACUUUCUCCAGUCUUAAAUGAAGUAGCAGGUUUAGGAGUCUAGCUUAGGCUGACAAUUUCAACUGGAAUGCAGUAAUUCCUCCUGGGCAGAUGCAUAUUGCAGGGUCAGAGACUGACUCUUCAGCAUUUAGGAAUCCACACCUGUCAGAAAAUAUUUUGCUAUGCUUAGAGAGAAGACUUCAGCCUUGAGGUUUCUUAUUUAAAAUGCAUUUAUAUUAUUGACAGAUGCUUGAGCAAUUCUUGAAAUUUAUUCCUGUUCCAUACAGCCAAAAUAACCACCUCACUCUCUAUUCCCACUGUGUCGGAUGUUGAACCACCUUAUGAAACUGUUAAUUUAAUAAUGAUUCUUUCUUGCCUGCCAUAUCUACUGCUUGGGUCAUUUAAAUGACACCAGGGAGCUCUUGACUUCAUUUUAAAUAAUAUAUAGAUUUUCUUAAGCUACUCUUUGAUGAGCAGAAAGGAAUUAGAUGCUGUCCCCUAAAUCACAGCUCUCUGUAAUUACAGCUAGACUAAGCAUCAAAGGCCAUAGUCUCUUUCAUUUGUGCCCACUGAAAUCAAACCUAAAGUAUUAAACUACUCUAGAUAAAAUAGUAAUAAUAUCCCCUAAGAUUCAGAGUGUUACAGUGUCAUCUUCAUAAUGAAAAGUAUUAUUUUUCAGGCAGGGUGCCCUCCAGCUAGGUUAAUAACACUUUUGAUUCUGUUGGCCCUGAAACAGCACCUGGAUUUCUGCACAAUAAAGCUCAGCUGCUCCCUGCA
ensembl:lncRNA